CCUACGGGUGGCAGCAGUGGGGAAUAUUGGGCAAUGGACGCAAGUCUGACCCAGCAACGCCGCGUGAAGGAAGAAGGCUUUCGGGUUGUAAACUUCUUUUAAGGGGGAAGAGCAGAAGACGGUACCCCUUGAAUAAGCCACGGCUAACUACGUGCCAGCAGCCGCGGUAAUACGUAGGUGGCAAGCGUUGUCCGGAUUUACUGGGUGUAAAGGGCGUGCAGCCGGAGAGACAAGUCAGAUGUGAAAUCCACGGGCUCAACCCGUGAACUGCAUUUGAAACUGCGUGUCUUGAGUGAUGGAGAGGCAGGCGGAAUUCCCAGUGUAGCGGUGAAAUGCGUAGAUAUUGGGAGGAACACCAGUGGCGAAGGCGGCCUGCUGGACAUUAACUGACGCUGAGGCGCGAAAGCGUGGGGAGCAAACAGGAUUAGAUACCCGAGUAGUC
rnacentral:rRNA from 1 species